GACGAACGCUGGCGGCGUGCUUAACACAUGCAAGUCGAACGAGAUCCAAUGUGUAGCAAUACACAGGAAGAUCUAGUGGCGAACGGGUGAGGAACACGUGAGAAACGUACCCCAGACUUUGGGAUAACAGUCCGAAAGUACUGCUAAUACCAAAUAACGUCGGAAGUCCGCAUGGACAUCUGACGAAAGGGAUUCCGGUUUGGGAGCGUCUCGCGGACCUAUCAGCUAGUUGGAGGGGUAACGGCCCACCAAGGCAACGACGGGUAGCUGGUCUGAGAGGAUGGUCAGCCACACUGGGACUGAGACACGGCCCAGACUCCUACGGGAGGCAGCAGUGGGGAAUCUUGCGCAAUGGGCGAAAGCCUGACGCAGCAACGCCGCGUGCGGGAAGAAGGCUUUCGGGCUGUAAACCGCGUUCAGUAGGAACGAAACUGACGGUACCUACAGAAGAAGGAGCGGCCAACUAUGUG
rnacentral:rRNA from 1 species